rnacentral:rRNA from 1 species
CUAGCCGUAAACGAUGGGCACUUGGUAGCGGCAGUUACCGACACUGUCGCUGCUGGAGCUAAUGUAUUAAGUGCCCCGCCUGGGGAGUAUGCUCGCAAGGGUGAAACUCAAAGGAAUUGACGGGGGCUCACACAAGCGGUGGAGCAUGUUGUUUAAUUCGAGGCUACGCGAAGAACCUUACCUGGGUUUGAAGCGAUAGGUAUAAGCGCGUCGAAAGAUGUGUGAUUGCCCUUCGGGGUGUAACCUAUCACAGGUGC